UUAUUACAGUAUUUUUUUACUAUAACAUUAUUAUCCACCAACUAUGACCCAAAAUCAUUUUUCAGCUUAUUCUUGUCCUCUUAUAUAUAUGUUAAACGCGAAGAGAAGACCAAAAAAAUUGUUAAACUCCAAGAUAAGAUGAGAGACCGAGCAGCAAGUCUUGGUAGAGGGAGUAAUUGGCGCCGGCAAGGGAAAGACUUACUUUAUUUUGCUGGUGGGUGCUGCAAAUGAAGAAUGAAUGGCCUGCCGCACUUGAAGAAGAGAGAUUACAAGAUGUCGACAUCGGCAAUGGUGGAGCUAGCUUUCUAUCCUCGCCAAUGAAACCUAUGGAAUGAUGCAGCAAAAGAGUGGAGCCACAGAGACAGGCUUUUGGUGGUUUGAAGUCACUCAAAGCAUCAGAAGUGGCGGAGGAAAAAAUAAUCAUUUUGGGACUGGAAUCUUAGCAGCAAGUUGACGGCACCGGUGACGAAAACGGAGAGCUUUGAUAUCCUAUCUUGGGCGGUAUUACAGAGUGGUAGCAAGUAACUAAGAGCUAAAAUCAUGUUUAGGAAAUUCACUGAAUUUUGAAUAUGGUCUUGAAUGAACUAGACAAGACCUUGCAUCACCAAAGAAGCCACUUUCUGAAGGUGAGAAGAGUGUCUUAAGGUGGGAUGUCAAGAUUUUGGCGCUUUGUUCAGAGUUGAAGAGGAAAAGGGAAGGAAAUUGGGCAGAUCACCAACAAGCCUCAUAUAUAGGAAGCUUAUUGAAAGAGUACUGUGAACCUCUUCUUGCCAAGAUACAACAAACUAUGACAAGGCUAUUAUGAUUGCAUAUGCUCUACUAGCGCCAAAACUCUUUAGUGCCUUCAAACAAAAUUUUCAUGGUGGUGUUCUCCAAGAGAGAAAUAUUGUGCAUUGGAUUAGACUCACAAUAGCUCAGUGUUUCAAAGACAUCAUAGCCAGGCACAAUUUGCAGAAGCAUUGUAUGGUGAUCUGACAUGGUAUAAGAUUUUAAUCAUUACAUGGAUUAAUGCUGAUUUUAGAGGGUUAGUUGAUACAGUACAUACAAACUCUCUUUGUAUUUCAUUUUUCAAAGUUGUCCAUCAUUUUAGAUUGCAGUCACGGUGGUGCUAGAAAAGUUGGUUUAAUUUAUCUCAAUAUAUAUAUACAUAGACGAUGUCAAAAUGUGAUUUUAACUGUCCAUUUUUUAGUGUUUAAGUUAGUACUUUGUUGUGGUUAUGUAUAAAAAUGCCAACUGCAAAUAAAAUAGAAGUUUUGUAGCUAACAAGGUAAUGUCUAAAUGCGUGUUUGAGGUUAAAUAGAAGCAGCUUGAUUUAUUCCAUUUUUGCAUUCUAUUUUUGCAUAGUUAUCAUUGUAAGUAAAGCAUUUUAAUAGGCAACAAUAUUGGUAUUUCUUAAGGUCCUUUAUUGAUUUGUUUUAACAAACAUUUUUAAAUGAGUAUGUUGUAAGUAAAGCGUUCUAUGCUGUUUUGAUAAAUGAUAUUGCUGCAAUGUAGUUUAAUUAAGUUAUAUGCUUAGUUCUAUCUUUGCAUGUGUGUAGGUCUAAAAUUAAAAUUGAUAAAGUUUGAGAAAAGAAAACACAUUAUUAUUGCUCAAUCUGAAACAUGAUCUAAUAGCUUUCUUUUUUCAUAUUUAUAAAUGCAUCAGUUUUCUUUUGUGAAGCUAUUUUUAUCAUUGUGAUGCAAAAUUUUUAAGUCAACAUAAUACUUUUUCUUUCGGACAGUAGUCUGUUCACAAACUCCAAUUGAUUUGCAUUCCAAGAGGAUAGAAUUGACCAGAUUGGAACAAACAAUAUAGUUAGCGUGAACAAAUUUUUGCCUAAAUCCUAAAUUGAAUUUCAGGCAGGAAGGAAAAAUUAUUUGCCUGUAAAGAUCUUGGAGCUGAUGUUGCUAUCAGGCACCAGUGAAGGAAAGAUUUGUGCAAUAACGAAAGCUUUUAUAUCAGUUGCCACUGCCUGUAUUGCUGUAGGUUUUGAUGUCAUAUGUAUGGAUCAAAUUGUGGGAUUGUACCUUUAGCGAAAUCUCCACAGCUUAAACUUUGAUGGAAGGCUUUUCUCCAUUAGGCCUCUAAUUAUGCGAGUUCAUAGUAUUUGUAAAAAUAAUAGAAUAAGAUGCUAAAAAGAUAAGAUAUUACUAUAUUUUUUUAUACAAUUUAUUUGUAUUCAAUGUAUAGUUGUAGAUAGUAAUGUUUGGUUUCAGUUUAAAUAUAUAUAUUUUUUAUUUGAAAUUAAAUGUACAACACAAACUACCAUUGAAUAAGUACACAAUC